UUAGGGAGACCUACUUCAGGAUAUCGUGCCUUAACAACUAUAGCCGUGUCUUGAGGUCAUCCUUAGGUCGGAUGGGGCGGUCAGAGAGCUUUCAAACUUUAGGGUUCGUGUUAUGGGCUAUUAGCUCAGGUGGUUAGAGCGCACCCCUGAUAAGGGUGAGGUCCCUGGUUCAAGUCCAGGAUGGCCCACAUCCACCCCAAACUGGGGGUAUAGCUCAGUUGGUAGAGCGCUGCCUUUGCACGGCAGAAGUCAGCGGUUCGAGUCCGCUUACCUCCACUCUCCUUUAAUUAGGUGCUAGUUGGGGUGAGAUCGGAUUUCCUCUGAUAGUCAAUUUAUCACUGUACAGCUCCUAAGUCUGUAGAUGUUAAUCUAGGACUAGAUAGCUGGACAUCUGUUCCAGUCAGAACCUUGAAAACUGCAUAGAGAAAAGCAUAAUGGUGUAGGAAAACGUCGUAAAGACAAUUCCAAUGUA
rnacentral:tRNA from 3 species